rnacentral:rRNA from 1 species
CGGCGAGUGAGAGGAAGAGCUCAAAGUUGGAACCUGUUUGGCCUAGCUAAACCGGAUUGUAGACUGUAGAAGUGUUUUCCAGGCAAGCCGAGUAAAUAAGUCCUUUGGAACAGGGCAUCAUAGAGGGUGAGAAUCCCGUCUUUGGCUUGAGCAUUUGCCUUUUGUGAUACGCUUUCAAAGAGUCAGGUUGUUUGGGAAUGCAGCCUAAAUUGGGUGGUAAAUCUCACCUAAAGCUAAAUAUUGGCGAGAAACCGAUAGCGAACAAGUACCGUGAGGGAAAGAUGAAAAGAACUUUGAAAAGAGAGUUAAACAGUAUGUGAAAUUGUUAAAAGGGAACCGUUUGGAGCCAGACUGGCUUGUCUGUAAUCAAUCUAGGCUUCGGCCUGGAUGCACUUGCAGGCUAUGCCUGCCAACGACAAUUUGACUUGAGGGAAAAAACUAGGGGAAAUGUGGCCCACUUGUGGGUGUUAUAGUCCCUUAGAAAAUACCUUGGGUUGGAUUGAGGAACGCAGCGAAUGCUUAUUGGCGAGUUUUCCAGGAAGGUUUUCUGAGGUACUACGGUAUCAAGGUUGAUCUUUUUGGUUAUACUUCUAUUCGCUUAGGUUGUUGGCUUAAUGACUCUAAAUGACCCGUCUUGAA